rnacentral:rRNA from 1 species
UACGUAGGGACCAAGCGUUGUCCGGAAUCAUUGGGCGUAAAGCGCGUGUAGGCGGUCAGGUAGGUCCGUUGUGAAAACUCGAGGCUCAACCUCGAGACGCCGAUGGAAACCAUCUGACUAGAGUCCGGAAGAGGAGAGUGGAAUUCCUGGUGUAGCGGUGAAAUGCGCAGAUAUCAGGAAGAACACCCGUGGCUAAGGCGGCUCUCUAGUACGGUACUGACGCUGAGACGCGAAAGCGUGGGGAGCGAACAGG